rnacentral:rRNA from 1 species
UGGGGAAUCUUGCGCAAUGGGCGAAAGCCUGACGCAGCCAUGCCGCGUGAAUGAUGAAGGUCUUAGGAUUGUAAAAUUCUUUCACCGGGGACGAUAAUGACGGUACCCGGAGAAGAAGCCCCGGCUAACUUCGUGCCAGCAGCCGCGGUAAUACGAAGGGGGCUAGCGUUGCUCGGAAUUACUGGGCGUAAAGGGAGCGUAGGCGGACAUUUAAGUCAGGGGUGAAAUCCCGGGGCUCAACCUCGGAAUUGCCUUUGAUACUGGGUGUCUUGAGUGUGAGAGAGGUAUGUGGAACUCCGAGUGUAGAGGUGAAAUUCGUAGAUAUUCGGAAGAAUACCAGUGGCGAAGGCGACAUACUGGCUCAUUACUGACGCUGAGGCUCGAAAGCGUGGGGAGCAAACAGGAUUAGAUACCCUGGUAGUCCACGCCGUAAACGAUGAUUGCUAGUUGUCGGGAUGCAUGCAUUUCGGUGACGUAGCUAACGCAUUAAGCAAUCCGCCUGGGGAGUACGGUCGCAAGAUUA